CCUACGGGAGGCAGCAGUGGGGAAUAUUGCACAAUGGGGGAAACCCUGAUGCAGCGACGCCGCGUGAGUGAAGAAGUCUUUCGGUACGUAAAGCUCUAUUAGUAGGGAAGAAACUCACGUUACCUGUCUAACAUUCCCCGUCUAAUUACGUGACAGCCGCCGCGGUAACACGGAGGGGGCAAGCGUUAUCCGGAUUUACUGGGUGUAAAGGGAGCGUAGCCGGCAGCGCAAGUCUGGAGUGAAAUGCCAUGGCUUAACCAUGGAACUGCUUUGGAAACUGUGCAGCUAGAGUGCAGGGGAGGUAAGCGGAAUUCCUAGUGUAGCGGUGAAAUGCGUAGAUAUUAGGAGGAACACCAGUGGCGAAGGCAGCUUACCAAACUAUAUCUGACGUUGAGGCACGAAAGCGUGGGUAGCAAACAGGAUUAGAUACCCCAGUAGUC
rnacentral:rRNA from 1 species